CCUACGGGAGGCAGCAGUCGGGAAUAUUGCUCAAUGGGGGAAACUCUGAAGCAGCGACGCCGCGUGGAGGAUGAAGGUUUUAGGAUUGUAAACUCCUGUUGUUAGGGAAGAUUAUGACGGUAUCUAACGAAUAAGCACCGGCUAACUCCGUGCCAGCAGCCGCGGUAAUACGGAGGGGGCAAGCGUUACUCGGAAUCACUGGGCGUAAAGGGUGCGUAGGCGGGGAUAUAAGGCAGAUGUGAAAUCCUGUGGCUUAACUGCAGAACUGCCUUUGAAACUGGUAGUCGUGAGUGUGGGAGAGGUAGGCGGAAUUCGUGGUGUAGGGGUGAAAUGCGUAGAUAUUAGGAGGAAUACCGAUGGCGAAGGCGGCUUGCUGGACAAUAACUGACGCUGAUGCACGAAAGCGUGGGGAGCAAACAGGAUUAGAUACCCGGGUAGUC
rnacentral:rRNA from 1 species